rnacentral:lncRNA from 1 species
AUGGUUAAGACCACCUCGAUCAAGCUGUCCAGAAGCAAAGCACCCUGUUAGCUACCUCUGCACAUGGCUGCCUGAGCUAGGCAUCUUCCUAACAUAACGACUAUCAGAGAGAAGGAUACUUUAAACAGUUUGGUAUUUUAAUAACUAUUCCAAAAAAUUUUAGGAAUUUUAGGGAAAAAGCUGUGUUUCUAGGAAUGAAUAGUCAAUGUCACCUGAAUGUUUCUCUAGGUCCCUACUGUGCAUCUCUGACACAGUGAUGUAUCUGUAGUGAGUAGCAUUUACUCAAAUGCCCAGGAAGGCCAGGUAGCUGAUACAGCAUUCUGGAAGAGGAAAAUUAGAGACAUUAGAUGAAUUGCUUCAAGUUUUAGAGAUCUGUACAACAAAGAUGACAUGUAGACCAAAAUGUGUCUGACUACAAAUGCCUUGCUAUUGUUCAGUCACUAAGUCAUGUCCAACUCUGACCUCAUGGACUGCAGCAUGCCAGGCUUCCCUGUCUUUCACAAAUUUCACAGAGUUCACUCAAACUUACAUCCAUCAAGUCAGUGACACCAUCCAACCAUCUCAUCCUCUGUCGUCCCCUUCUCUUCCCACCUUCAGUCUUUCCCAGCAUCAGGGUCUUUUCAAAUGAGUCAGUUCUUCGCAUCAGGUGGCCAAAGUACUGGAGCUUCAGCUUCAGCAUCAGUCCUUCCAAUGAAUAUUCAGGGUUUAUUUCCUUUAGGAUUGAUUGUUUUGAUCUCCUUGAAGUCCUAAAAUGCCUAGCUCCAAGAACUUCUCUAACAAGCUACCCUUUCAUGAAAUCUGGCCUUGGGUUACUUUAAGGGAUACUCAAACUCUAUCUUAUAUAUUCUUUAACUUCCUGUUUAUUUCUCAUUUUCCCCCCAGUCUGGCAUCUGUGCUUCCCAAACAGUCAUCCUUAUGUCAUCUGGUCCUCUGCCCUUUUGAAACCAGAUCUCAGCCAACAGAGUUCAGUAUGGAACCGCUCGACAAGCCUGAAUCAUCAGUUUCUCGCCUCUGCAGUCUUAGGAUCUGCUGGGUUGAAGGCCCUCGUUUCCAGGGCUGAUGAAGUAGCGCUUUGUAAAGGGCUGCAGCAGUGGGCCCAGUAGACUUGAAGCUGUGACUCCUGCUUGGACACUUUGGAAUCCUCGUGGUGUUGCACCAGUCAUCCUAAUUUCGGUGAGCUUUAUCAUAUGUCCCAGUGAGGAUCUGGAAUUAUCACUACCCCAAUAGGGAUAUAAAGAAGUGGGUCUAAAAUGCAAGAAACUCACCAAGUCAUCUUUUGAUGCCUUCAAACCCAGUGAUAAUCACACGUUGAAAAUCAUAGCAAUCGUAA